rnacentral:rRNA from 1 species
AUACGGAGGGUGCGAGCGUUAAUCGGAAUUACUGGGCGUAAAGCGUACGUAGGCGGUUGGUUAAGUUAGAUGUGAAAGCCCCGGGCUUAACCUGGGAACUGCAUUUAAAACUGGCGAACUAGAGUUGAGUAGAGGGGAGUGGAAUUUCAGGUGUAGCGGUGAAAUGCGUAGAGAUCUGAAGGAACACCAGUGGCGAAGGCGACUCCCUGGACUCGAACUGACGCUGAGGUACGAAAGCGUGGGUAGCAAACAGGAUUAGAAACCCCGGUAGUCC